AGGUUACUAUCAUCGGUGUUCUCAUACGUCAUACUAGUCAUAUGUAGCAAUACAUGGCGUACUGCUCAGUAACACGUGGAUAACCUGCCCUUGGGUCCGGCAUAACCCCGGGAAACUGGGGAUAAUUCCGGAUAACGCAUAUAUGCUGGAAUGCUUUCUGCGUAAAAUGGAUUCGUCUGCCCAAGGAUGGGUCUGCGGCCUAUCAGGUAGUAGUGGGUGUAAUGUACCUACUAGCCUACGACGGGUACGGGUUGUGAGAGCAAGAGCCCGGAGAUGGAUUCUGAGACAUGAAUCCAGGCCCUACGGGGCGCAGCAGGCGCGAAAACUUUACAAUGCGGGAAACCGUGAUAAGGGGACACCGAGUGCCAGCAUCCUAUGCUGGCUGUCCGGGUGUGUAAAAUACACCUGUCAGCAAGGGCCGGGCAAGACCGGUGCCAGCCGCCGCGGUAACACCGGCGGCCCGAGUGGUGAUCGUGAUUAUUGGGUCUAAAGGGUCCGUAGCCGGUUUGGUCAGUCCUCCGGGAAAUCUGACAGCUCAACUGUUAGGCUUUCGGAGGAUACUGCCAGACUUGGAACCGGGAGAGGUAAGAGGUACUACAGGGGUAGGAGUGAAAUCUUGUAAUCCCUGUGGGACCACCUGUGGCGAAGGCGUCUUACCAGAACGGGUUCGACGGUGAGGGACGAAAGCUGGGGGCACGAACCGGAUUAGAUACCCGGGUAGUCCCAGCCGUAAACGAUGCUCGCUAGGUGUCAGGCAUGGCGCGACCGUGUCUGGUGCCGCAGGGAAGCCGUGAAGCGAGCCACCUGGGAAGUACGGCCGCAAGGCUGAAACUUAA
rnacentral:rRNA from 1 species